CCUACGGGCGGCAGCAGUGAGGAAUAUUGGUCAAUGGGCGUAAGCCUGAACCAGCCAAGUCGCGUGAGGGAUGAAGGUUCUAUGGAUCGUAAACCUCUUUUAUAAGGGAAUAAAGUGUGGGACGUGUCCUGUUUUGUAUGUACCUUAUGAAUAAGGAUCGGCUAACUCCGUGCCAGCAGCCGCGGUAAUACGGAGGAUCUGAGCGUUAUCUGGAUUUAUUGGGUUUAAAGGGUGCGUAGGCGGCCUUUUAAGUCAGCGGUGAAAGUCUGUGGCUCAACCAUAGAAUUGCCGUUGAAACUGGGAGGCUUGAGUAUGUUUGAGGCAGGCGGAAUGCGUGGUGUAGCGGUGAAAUGCUUAGAUAUCACGCAGAACCCCGAUUGCGAAGGCAGCCUGCCAAGCCAUGACUGACGCUGAUGCACGAAAGCGUGGGGAUCAAACAGGAUUAGAUACCCGGGUAGUC
rnacentral:rRNA from 1 species